GACAGGUACCAGCAGAGGGUCCAUGUGCCCAACAUGACGUCCCUGAAGAUUGAGAACCUGACCCCCGAGGACAGUGGGCUGUACCGGGCUCGAGUCAGCUUCACUGGAGGAGUAGAAUUUACCCAACUUUUCCACCUCACUGUCUAUGAGCCUGUGCCCAUUCCCCAGAUCCUGGUCCACUCACCAUCCAUCACGCAAGGCUGGUGCAAUGUCACCAUGGAAUGCAGAACCUCAGGGGACACAGAGGACCUGAAGGUGACCCGGGAGGGCAAGGGCCUCCCCAGGCAGCUGGAGGAGAGAGUGACACUGGGACCAGCCCCCAAUUCCUGGACCUUGGCUGUGCACCUUCCCCGGAGCCAGCCCUACACCAACAUCACCUGUGUGGUCAGCAACGAAGUGGACCAGAAAACUGCCACCUUCAACCUUGGGGAAGUCUGCCACCUCGGGGACGCCCAUGGUUCACUUGGAGAGGCGAUUGUUGUUUCCCUACGAGGCAUCCUAGGGUCUGUCGUGGUCAUGGUGUUGGUCCUCAGAGGUGGACUGUACCUUUGGAAGGUACACAGGAAGAAGAAGAAGAUGGAGACUGCAAGAGGAGCAGGAUUGCAGGAGGAUCAUGGGGUCCGUGACUGUGGCAUCUAGAGUGCAGAACUGAGCCAGCAGGAGUCUCUUGAGG
rnacentral:lncRNA from 1 species